rnacentral:rRNA from 1 species
CUACGUAUGGGGCGAGCGUUGUCCGGAAUGAUUGGGCGUAAAGGGUACGUAGGCGGUUAAUUAAGUCGAGUGUGAAAGGUUGGGGCUCAACCCCAUAAAGCAUUCGAAACUGGUUAACUUGAGAUGUGGAGAGGAAAGUGGAAUUCCUAGUGUAGCGGUGACAUGCGUAGAUAUUAGGAGGAAUACCAGUAGCGAAGGCGACUUUCUGGACACAGACUGACGCUGAGGUACGAAAGCGUGGGGAGCAAACAGGAUGAGAUCCCCGGGUAGCCCACGCCGUAAACGAUGAAUGCUAGGUGUCGGGGGUCAAACCUCGGUGCCGCCGCUAACGCAUUAAGCAUUCCGCCUGGGGAGUACGCACGCAAGUGUGAAACUCAAAGGAAUUGACGGGG